AUUCUGGCCUCUUAUUGGCGUCUUUUUUGAGUAUUGCAAAUCCAUUUUAUGACUUUUAGAGAGAUUUUUGAAACUUUCAUGAACAAGAUUUGAGCGCCCGCCAAAAUCGAAAUGAGCAAAAGCUCCCCAAGAGAGCGACAAUGGCACAGAGGCGCUGUUUAAAGGGGAUUCCGGUGAAGCUCACUAUCAGUAAACGAACCCGUAGAACUUACACCUCAUAGGCCACAGGCAACAACAAAAAUAUUUUCAAUAGUAAAUAAAUAAAUUUCUUUAAAAGAUGUCACACCACAAAAUACAGCAAGUAUUCUUUUGUUAAUUGAAGAGUGUAAUAAACUCAAUUGAAAAUAUUUGCAUAGAUAUGCCAGAAUACAAUAUUUCAAUUCACACUCACUGGCUAAAUUAUUGACUGCCGAGCAACUGCACAGAACGCUGAUUAAAUUCAAACUGAACA